AGAGUUUGAUCAUGGCUCAGGACGAACGCUGGCGGCGUGCCUAAUACAUGCAAGUAGAACGCUGAAGAAAGGAGCUUGCUUCUUUUGGAUGAGUUGCGAACGGGUGAGUAACGCGUAGGUAACCUGCCUUGUAGCGGGGGAUAACUAUUGGAAACGAUAGCUAAUACCGCAUAACAGCUUUUGACACAUGUUAGAAGCUUGAAAGAUGCAAUUGCAUCACUACGAGAUGGACCUGCGUUGUAUUAGCUAGUAGGUAGGGUAACGGCCUACCUAGGCGACGAUACAUAGCCGACCUGAGAGGGUGAUCGGCCACACUGGGACUGAGACACGGCCCAGACUCCUACGGGAAGCAGCAGUAGGGAAUCUUCGGCAAUGGGGGCAACCCUGACCGAGCAACGCCGCGUGAGUGAAGAAGGUUUUCGGAUCGUAAAGCUCUGUUGUAAGAGAAGAACGUGUGUGAGAGUGGAAAGUUCACACAGUGACGGUAACUUACCAGAAAGGGACGGCUAACUACGUGCCAGCAGCCGCGGUAAUACGUAGGUCCUGAGCGUUGUCCGGAUUUAUUGGGCGUAAAGCGAGCGCAGGCGGUUUAAUAAGUCUGAAGUUAAAGGCAGUGGCUUAACCAUUGUUCGCUUUGGAAACUGUUAAACUUGAGUGCAGAAGGGGAGAGUGGAAUUCCAUGUGUAGCGGUGAAAUGCGUAGAUAUAUGGAGGAACACCGGUGGCGAAAGCGGCUCUCUGGUCUGUAACUGACGCUGAGGCUCGAAAGCGUGGGGGAGCAAACAGGAUUAGAUACCCUGGUAGUCCACGCCGUAAACGAUGAGUGCUAGGUGUUAGGCCCUUUCCGGGGCUUAGUGCCGCAGCUAACGCAUUAAGCACUCCGCCUGGGGAGUACGACCGCAAGGUGAAACUCAAAUGAAUUGACGG
rnacentral:rRNA from 1 species